rnacentral:tRNA from 1 species
CAAAAUAUAAUUUAUAGAAAAUAUUAAUUUUGGAGAUUAAAAAUAUCUUAUUUUUAGAUUAUUUUGA